GUUACAAAGCCUGAGCAUCACUCCAGCAACUGAAAACUUCUCUUUUUUCCUGUUGGGAUGUGGAGCAUCACAGCAAAAGGUUUGUCCUCUCCUGGACGUCCUGGCUGUGUCCUCACACACCUGAGAGCUCUGCUGCUGAACCAGGUCAUCUAAAGUGCCCACUGCCUCUUGCUUUUCUGCCAUCAGUGUGCAUAGAUUGCUCUGUUAGCGGUGUGUUUCAGCAACCACAGAAGAUUUUGUUACUCCAGAAUUCAUCUCAUCUAAAUUGUGCUUGAACUGCAUGCAACUUACUGGGAUGCAUCUCACAGUGCUUUGUCUGUGAUAUCAAGCUCUACCAUGCUUUCAUGGGCUGGAUCUCCUCUGAAGCACUCUGGGAUCACAGUGACCUCCUUUGUGGCUUCAUUAUAGGGGUUCUGUUGCCAUAAGGUCCACAUCUUUCUCCUCAAAUACUCCCAAGUACAAGAAUCCAGCUUAAAAAUAUCAUUUUUUAAAAUCCUAGAAUAGUUUUUUAAAUACCAGUUUUGUUGAUCGUGUAAUCAGUGUCGUCCAGACCUGCAUGAUAUUCUUAUAGGAUCUGCACCUUCUGCUGCAUUCAGGAGGAUGACUGUCCUACAACAUUAGAAUAUUGAGAUUUUUUUAGUUAAUAUUUUUCCCUAUCGUUGUUUCAGCUGUGGUUGUUUCUUUGCACCUCCUCUGCCCCAUCCUUCCUGCAUGAUCAAAUCCAUGUUUACAGUAUGCUCUUGUCUUAGGUGUCCAAAUCUACUAAGCAGCUCUAAUUAAUACAAAUAAUAAAGGUUUUAUUAGCAACA
rnacentral:lncRNA from 1 species